CAAGCGUUGUUCCGGAGUUACUGGGCGUAAAGGGUGUGUAGGCGGUUCUUUAAGUUUGGUGUGACAAUCUCCCGGCUCAACCGGGAGGGUGCGCCGAAUACUGAGGGACUAGAGUGCCGGGAGAGGAAAGUGGAAUUCCUGGUGUAGCGGUGAAAUGCGUAGAUAUCACGGAGGAACACCGGUGGUGUAGACGGCUUUCUGGACCGUAACUGACGCUGAAACCACGAAAGAGUGGGUAGCAAACAGGAUUAGAUACCCUGGUAGUCCACGCCCUAAACGAUGCAUAUUUGGUGUGGGUCAUUCAGUUGAUCCGUGCCGGAGCUAACGCGUUAAAUAUGCCGCCUGGGGAGUACAGUCGCAAGGCUGAAACUCAAAGGAAUUGACGGGGGCCCGCACAAGCGGUGGAGCAUGUGGUUCAAUUCGACGCAACGCGAAGAACCUUACCUGGCUCGAACGGCUUCUCAACGCCGGU
rnacentral:rRNA from 1 species